UCCGCGAUAGCUCAGUCGGUAGAGCAAGUGACUGUUAAUCACUGGGUCCUUGGUUCGAGUCCAAGUCGCGGAGCCA
rnacentral:tRNA from 3 species